rnacentral:rRNA from 1 species
CCUACGGGAGGCAGCAGUGGGGAAUAUUGGGCAAUGGGCGCAAGCCUGACCCAGCAACGCCGCGUGCAGGAAGAAGGCUUUCGGGUUGUACACUUCUUUUCUGAGGGACGAAGAAAGUGACGGUACCUCAGGAAUAAGCCACGGCUAACUACGUGCCAGCAGCCGCGGUCAUACGGAGGUGGCAAGCGUUAUCCGGAUUUGUUGGGUGUAAAGGGCGUGUAGGCGGGAAAGCAAGUCAGAUGUGAAAACUCAGGGCUCAACCCUGAGCCUGCAUUUGAAACUGUUUUUCUUGAAGGCUGGAGAGGCAAUCGGAAUUCCGUGUGUAGCGGUGAAAUGCGUAGAUAUACGGAGGAACACCAGUGGCGAAGGCGGAUUGCUGGACAGUAACUGACGCUGAGGCGCGAAAGCGUGGGGAGCAAACAGGAUUAGAUACCCGGGUAGUC